GACGAACGCUGGCGGCGUGCUUAACACAUGCAAGUCGAACGGAAAGGCCCUGCUCUUGUGGGGUGCUCGAGUGGCGAACGGGUGAGUAACACGUGAGUAACCUGCCCUUGACUUUGGGAUAACUUCAGGAAACUGGGGCUAAUAUCGGAUAGGAGCUCCUGCUGCAUGGUGGGGGUUGGAAAGUUUCGGCGGUUGGGGAUGGACUCGCGGGUUAUCAGCUUGUUGGUGGGGUAGUGGCUUACCAAGGCUUUGACGGGUAGCCGGCAUGGGCGGGUGACCGGCGACAUUGGGACUGCGAGACGGACCAGAAUCCUACGGGAGGCAGCAGUGGGGAGUAUUGCACAAUGGGGGGAAGCGUGAUGCAGCAACGCCGCGUGCGGAAUGACGGCCUUCGGGUUGUAAACCGCUUUCGCCUGUAACGAAGCGGGAGUGACGGUAAUGGGUAAAGAAGCACCGGCUAACUACGUG
rnacentral:rRNA from 1 species